GACGAACGCUGGCGGCGUGCUUAACACAUGCAAGUCGAGCGGUAAGGCCCUUUCGGGGGUACGACGAGCGGCGAACGGGUAGGAGUAACACGUGGGUGGACCUCGCCCUCCAGCUCUGGGAGUAAGACCUCGGGAAACCGGGUACUAAUACUGGAUAUGACUCCAUGACGCAUGUUGUGGGGUGGAAAGCCUUGUGCGGCUGAGGAUGGGCCCGCGGCCUAUCAGCUUGUUGGGUGGGGUGANGGCCUACCAAGGCGACGACGGGUAG
rnacentral:rRNA from 1 species